UAUAAACACGUUCUCUGCUAAAUGCAGCAUCUGCCAAAUCUUCCAAAAGAGCAAGAUGAUUCGAUUUCCCAUUAUCUCAGUGUUUUAUAGUGUUUACACAAUGGCUUCAUUUUAACACAUCAAAUCAAAUGUAUUUAUAAAGCCCUUCUCACAUCAGCUGAUGUCUCAAAGUGCUGUACAGAAACCCAGCCUAAAACCCCAAACAGUAAGCAAUGCAGGUGUAGAAGCACGGCAUGGUCAUGCUACUACAGUAAUAAAUUACUGUACUUUAUAUAGAUUAUUAUUGUAACAAAUGUACUGAUGUGAUCAAAUGAUGAUAUAGCCUGUCAAGAUAUGUUACAUGAAUUCACAAUAGAAUUAUAAUAAAAUGAAACAUUUAUUGAAUUAUUACUCUCACAAUUUCACACAUUUUCAACAUAUAGUUUCCCCAUUUGACGCUUGACAAGCAGUUCCCUUAUUCCACCACUAUGCCUAUGCAUGGUCAUGGCUGUACGUACAUUUACGCACACUCAAGCAAAUGUUCAUAUUGAUAAGUUUCACACAUUGCGUAGAAAUGAUCCCAUGCAUGGUUUACGCACAGAUAUGUGCCUGAUUGAUAAAUGAGGGCCUAGGUGUGAUGAAUUUAGGAAAUCACUGAACGAUUCAAUUGCUCCGUGUGGUGCCUAGUUGGGACAAAAUCCUACAGUACCUGCAGCUCUCCAGAAACCGGGUUGUCUCCUCCUGGUCAACAGGGUUAUGGUUAGGUCUGGUACUCUACAGGGUUAUGGUUAGGUCUGGUACUCUACAGGGUUAUGGUUAGGUCUGGUACUCAACAGGGUUAUGGUUAGGUCUGGUACUCUACAGGGUUAUGGUUAGGGUUAUGGUUAGGUCUGGUACUCUACAGGGUUAUGGUUAGGGUUAUGGUUAGGUCUGGUACUCUACAGGGUUAUGGUUAGGUCUGGUACUCUACAGGUUUGUCUCCUCCUGGUCUAGAGGUUUAUGGUUAGGUCUGGUGCUCUACAGGGUUGUCUCCUCCUGGUCUAGAGGGUUAUGGUUAGGCCUGGUACUCUACAUGAUUGUCUCCUCCUGGUCUAGAGGGUUAUGGUUAGGCCUGGUACUCUACAGGGUUAUGGUUAGGCCUGGUACUCUACAGGGUUAUGGUUAGGUCUGGUACUCUACAGGGUUAUGGUUAGGUCUGGUACUCUACAGGAUUGUCUCCUCCUGGUCUAGAGGUUUAUGGUUAGGUCUGGUACUCUACAGGGUUGUCGCCUCCUGGUCUAGAGGGUUAUGGUUAGGUCUGGUACUCUACAGGGUUAUGGUUAGGUCUGGUACUCUACAGGAUUGUCUCCUCCUGGUCUAGAGGUUUAUGGUUGGGUCUGGUAUUCUACAUAGAGCUCUAGAGAGACAGAGAGCUUUGUCAUCUGGGUUUUUAUUGGUUCUUUUAGGAUCAGGCAGUUUAUUUUCAGAGACAUUUACAUCAUACAGUAUAAUUUACAUUAAUAUAGAUAAAAUAACAUAAAUUACACUAAUAUAGAUAAUCUAACAUCAUUAGAUAUAUCAUGUUGCAUACACACAGGGCCAAUCUAAAAUGGCACCAAACUCCUCUACAGAGCCCUGUUCCCUUCAUAGUACACUACUAUAGACCAGAGCCCUGUUCCCUUCAUAGUGCACUACUUUAGACCAGAGCCCUGUUCCCUUCAUAGUGCACUACUAUAGACCAGAGCACUGUUCCCUUCAUAGUGCACUACUUUAGACCAGAGCCCUGUUCCCUGUCAUAGUACACUACUAUAGACCAGAGCCCUGUUCCCUUCAUAGUGCACUACUAUAGACCAGAGCCCUGUUCCCUUCAUAGUGCACUACUAUAGACCAGAGCCCUGUUCCCUUCAUAGUGCACUACUUUAGACCAGAGCACUGUUCCCUUCAUAGUGCACUACUAUAGACUAGAGCCCUGUUCCCUUCAUAGUGCACUACUAUAGACCAGAGUCUUAUGGAACCCUACUCCCUUCAUAGUGCACUACUUUAGACCAGAGUCCUAUGGAACCCUACUCCCUUCAUAGUGCACUACUUUAGACCAGAUGUAUUAGACAGCUUUGGGAGACUUUGGCCCAAAGUAAUUGACUAUAGUGUUGUAAUAGUGCUCACUAUAGGGAAUAGGUUGACGCCAGCCGCUCCUCAUUCACUCAGCCUAUUGAGUCCACUGAUCCCACUCACACAGAACUACCUUACGCUUUGGCCUCUUUCUCCCCUCUCUCUCCAGAUAAAAUCCUGCGACUAGUGAUGUCCGUCCGCCCGACAUCCUGCCUGCUCAACCCUUCCUCCCUUCUCCACACCAUCUCUGGAGACCUCCUCUUCCUCACUUCCCUCAUCAACUCAUCCCCAUCCCCUCCUCCCUUCUCCACACCAUCUCUGGAGACCUCCCCUUCCUCACUUCCCUCACCCCCAUCCCCUCCUCCCUUCUCCACACCAUCUCUGGAGACCUCCUCUUCCUCACUUCCCUCAUCAACUCAUCCCCAUCCCCUCCUCCCUUCUCCACACCAUCUCUGGAGACCUCCCCUUCCUCACUUCCCUCACCCCCAUCCCCUCCUCCCUUCUCCACACCAUCUCUGGAGACCUCCUCUUCCUCACUUCCCUCAUCAACUCAUCCCCAUCCCCUCCUCCCUUCUCCACACCAUCUCUGGUGACCUCCCCUUCCUCACUUCACUCAUCAACUCAUCCCUGACCACUGACUUCAAGAUGGCCCGAGUCGCUCCUCUCCUCAAGAAACCAACACUCGACCCAUAUACUGUAUACUGUUAUCUUCAUGUAUAGAUGAUACUGUAUAUAUCCCCAUGUUAACAUGCUAUAUAUACUGUUAUAUUCAUGUAUCGAUGAUAUACACUCUCCGGCCAGUUUAUUAGGUCCGCCGCCCAUUUCACAAAACUGGGUUACAGACAGUGAGUUGUGUGGCUGUGUCUUGCUAUAUAAAGCAGGCAUCGAGGCAUUCAGUUACUGUUCAACUGAAUGUUAGAAUGGGCAAAACUAUGUGCCAAGCGCGCCAAAUUCAGUAUCUCAGAAAACAGUUUGUUGAUGAGCGAGGUCCAAGAAGAAUCUGUCUGUCUGUCUCUGUCUGUCUGCCUGAAAUUUUUCCUGUCUGUCUGCAUAUCUGCCUGUCUGCCUGUCUAUCUGUCUGUCCAUCUAUCUGCCUGCCUGCCCGUCCGUCCGUCUGUCUGUUCGUUUAUCUGCCUGUCUGCAUAUCUUCCUCUCCAUCUGUCCAUCCAUCUAUCUGCCUAUCUGUCUGCCUAUCUGUCUGCCUGUCUGUCUGUCUGCCUAUCUGUCUGCCUGUCUGUCUGCCUGCCUGUCUGUCUGUGGUCUGCUAUAGAAACAUGCAGUUAAUACAUAGAGGAAGCCAUAUAUGAUGAAUGUCUACCUGCCUGCCCGCCUGCCUGUCCAUCUAUCUGCCUGCCUUUUAACAUAUAUAUUUUUUACCCCCUUUUCGUGGUAUCCAAUUGGUAGUUACAGUCUUGUCUCAUCGCUGCAACUCCCAUACGGACUCGGGUGAGGUGAAGGUCGAGAGCCGUGCGUCCUCCGAAACACAACCCAACCAAGCCGCACUGCUUCUUGACACAAUGCCCACUUAACCCGGAAGCCAGCCGCACCAAUGUGUUGGAGGAAACAAUGUACACCUGGCGACCAUGCACUGCACCCAGGAGUCGCUAGUGCGCUAUGGAACAAGGACAUCCCUGCCGGCCAGCUGCAACAGAGCCUGGACUGGAACCCAGAAUCUCUAGUGACACAGCUAGCACUGUGAUGCAGUGCCUUAGACCACGGCGCCACUCUGGAGGCCUGUCUGUGUGUCUGCGUGUCCGUCAGUCUCCGUGCCCGCCUGUCUACCUGUCCGCGUGUCCGGCUGUCUGCCUGUCUACCUGUCUGCGUGUCUGCUUGUCUGCGUGUCUGCCUGUCUACCUGUCUGCGUGUCUGCCUGUCUACCUCUCUAACUGUCUGCCUGUCUACCUGUCCGCAUGUCCAGCUGUCUGCCUGUCUACCUGUCUGCGUGUCUGCCUGUCUACCUGCCGCGUGUCCGGCUGUCUACCUGUCUGCCUGUCUGUCUGUGUGUCCGUCAGUAUGCGUGUCUACCUGUCUGCGUGUCUACCUGCCUGCGUGUCUGCCUGUCUGCGUGUCUGCCUCUGCGUGUCUACCUGCCUGCGUGUCUGCCUGUCUGUGUGUCUGCCCUGUCUGCCUGUCUGUCUGCCUGUCUGCGU
ensembl:lncRNA